rnacentral:rRNA from 1 species
GACGAACGCUGGCGGCGUGCUUAACACAUGCAAGUCGAACGGAAAGGCCCUGCUUUUGUGGGGUGCUCGAGUGGCGAACGGGUGAGUAAAACGUGAGUAAACUGCCCUUGACUUUGGGAUAACUUCAGGAAAAUGGGGCUAAUAUAGGAUAGGAGAUCCUGCUGCAUGGGGGGGGUUGGAAAGUUUCGGCGGUAGGGGAUGGACUCGAGGCUUAUCAGCUUGUUGGUGGGGUAGGGGCUUACCAAGGCUUUGACGGGUAGCCGGCCUGAGAGGGUGACCGGCCACAUUGGGACUGAGAUACGGACCAGAAUCCUACGGGAGGCAGAAGGGGGGAAUAUUACACAAUGGGCGGAAGCCUGAUGCAGCAACGCCGCGUUCGGAAUGACGGCCUUCGGGUUGUAAACCGCUUUCGCCGGUAACGAAGCGUGAGUGACGGUAAUGGGUAAAGAAGCACCGGCUAACUACGUG